rnacentral:rRNA from 1 species
CAGUGACAAGAAAUAUCAAUAGGGGAUCCUAUGGGUCUUCUAAUUGNAAUGAGAACAAGCUAAACAGCUUAUCGAGAAUCCAGCAGAGGGCAAGUCUGGUGCCAGCAGCCGCGGUAAUUCCAGCUCUGUAAGCGUAUACCAAAGUUGUUGCAGUUAAAACGCUCGUAGUCGGAACUUGGCAGUUCCGGAUGUGUGCACGUCGUGUGCGCACUUUGCGGGGACUGCUUUUGUGGUCUUGCGUAGGAUGAGGCACUUUUAUUAGUGAACGUCCUCACGCAGCCACUCUUUACUGUGAGAAAAUCAGAGUGCUCAAAGCAGGCAUUUGCCGUGAAUGUAUUAGCAUGGAAUAAUAGAAUAGGACUUGGUUCUAUUUUGUUGGUUUGUUGGGACUGAGUAAUGAUUAAGAGGGACAGUUGGGGGCAUUUGUAUUUCGGCGCUAGAGGUGAAAUUCUUAGAUUGCCGAAAGACAAACUGCUGCGAAAGCGUCUGCCAAGGAUGUUUUCAUUGAUCAAGAACGAAAGUAAGGGGAUCGAAGACGAUCAGAUACCGUCGUAGUCUUUACUAUAAACGAUGAGGACUGGGGAUCGGGCGAGGAAUUACGAUGACCCGCCCGGCACCCUUCGAGAAAUCAAAGUGUUUGCUUUCUGGGGGGAGUAUGGUCGCAAGGCUNNNNCUUAAAGGAAUUGACGGAAGGGCAUCACCGGGUGUGGAGNNNNNNNNUAAUUUGACUCAACACGGGAAAACUUACCAGGUCAGGACAUAGUGAGG